AUUGAACGCUGGCGGCAGGCCUAACACAUGCAAGUCGAGCGGAUGAAGGGAGCUUGCUCCUGGAUUCAGCGGCGGACGGGUGAGUAAUGCCUAGGAAUCUGCCUGGUAGUGGGGGAUAACGUCCGGAAACGGGCGCUAAUACCGCAUACGUCCUGAGGGAGAAAGUGGGGGAUCUUCGGACCUCACGCUAUCAGAUGAGCCUAGGUCGGAUUAGCUAGUUGGUGGGGUAAAGGCCUACCGAGGCGACGAUCCGUAACUGGUCUGAGAGGAUGAUCAGUCACACUGGAACUGAGACACGGUCCAGACUCCUACGGGAGGCAGCAGUGGGGAAUAUUGGGCAAUGGGCGAAAGCCUGAUCCAGCCAUGCCGCGUGUGUGAAGAAGGUCUUCGGAUUGUAAAGCACUUUAAGUUGGGAGGAAGGGCAGUAAGUUAAUACCUUGCUGUUUUGACGUUACCAACAGAAUAAGCACCGGCUAACUUCGUG
rnacentral:rRNA from 1 species